rfam:Nematocida parisii ERTm3 unplaced genomic scaffold supercont1.7, whole genome shotgun sequence.
ACCCGGUUAGCUCAGUCGGUAGAGCAUUGGACUUUUAAUCCAAGGGUCGCGGGUUCGAGUCCCGUAUCGGGUG